AUUGAACGCUGGCGGCAGGUUUAACACAUGCAAGUCGAGCGAGCGGCGGACGGGUGAGUAAUGUCUGGGAAACUGCCUGAUGGAGGGGGAUAACUACUGGAAACGGUAGCUACUACCGCAUACCAUCAGAUGUGCCCAGAUGGGAUUGGCUAGUAGGUGGGGUAUUGGCUCACCUAGGCGACGAUCCCUAGCUGGUCUGAGAGGAUGACCAGGCCCACUGAAACGUGGCAGCGGUCCAGACUCCUGGGGGAGGUAGCAGUGGGGAAUAUUGCACAGUGGGCGCAAGCCUGAUGCAGCCCUGCCGCGUUUAUGAAGAAGGCCUUCGGGUUGGAAAGCACUUUCGGCGAGGAGGCGUUACUCGCAGAAGAAGCACCGGCUAACUCCGUGCCAGCAGCCGCGGUAAUAC
rnacentral:rRNA from 1 species